rnacentral:rRNA from 1 species
UACGGGGGGGGCAAGCGUUGUUCGGAAUUACUGGGCGUAAAGGGCUCGUAGGCGGCCAACUAAGUCAGACGUGAAAUCCCUCGGCUUAACCGGGGAACUGCGUCUGAUACUGGAUGGCUUGAGUUUGGGAGAGGGAUGCGGAAUUCCAGGUGUAGCGGUGAAAUGCGUAGAUAUCGGGAGGAACACCUGUGGCGAAAGCGGCGCACUGGACCACAUCUGACGCUGAGGCGCGAAAGCUAGGGGAGCAAACAGG